AAUCAACGCUGGCGGCGUGCCUAACACAUGCAAGUCGAACGAGAAAGUGGUAGCAAUACCAUGAGUAAAGUGGCGCACGGGUGAGUAACACGUGACUAACCUACCUUGGAGUUCGGAAUAACCUCGGGAAACCGGGGCUAAUACCGGAUAACACCUACGGGUCAAAGGAGCAAUUCGCUCUGAGAGGGGGUCGCGGCUGAUUAGCUAGUUGGCAGGGUAAUGGCCUACCAAGGCGACGAUCAGUAUCCGGCCUGAGAGGGCGCACGGACACACUGGAACUGAAACACGGUCCAGACUCCUACGGGAGGCAGCAGUGGGGAAUUUUGCACAAUGGGGGAAACCCUGAUGCAGCAACGCCGCGUGGAGGAUGAAGGUCUUUGGAUUGUAAACUCCUUUCGACCGGGACGAUAAU
rnacentral:rRNA from 1 species